rnacentral:misc_RNA from 1 species
CCCAACUAUCCCUAUUAAUCAUUACGGUGGUCCUAGACCAACAAAAUAGAACCAACGUCCUAUUCUAUUAUUCCAUGCUAAUCUAUUCAAGCAAAAGCCCGCUUUAAACACUCUAAUUUUUUCAAGGUAAUGGUCCUGGUUCCCCGACACACCCAAUAAAGGGCAUACCGGCUCACCAGAAGGUGAGAAAUUGACUACACCAGUUCAUACCCCUUAAGGCACGACCGAUGUGUCAAUCCCGAAAUUCAACUACGAGCUUUUUAACUGCAACAACUUUAAUAUACGCUAUUGGAGCUGGAAUUACCGCGGCUGCUGGCACCAGACUUGCCCUCCAA